rnacentral:rRNA from 1 species
GACGAACGCUGGCGGCGUGCCUAAUACAUGCAAGUCGAACGCAGUGGGGACGGGUGAGUAACACGUGGGUAACCUCCCAUCAGAGGGGAAAACACUUGGAAACUGGUGCUAAACCGAUACUGAUGGAUGAACCCGGGGUGAAUUAGCUAGUUGGUGAGGUAACGGCUCACCAAGGCCACGAUGCAUAGCUGGCCUGGGAGGGUGAUCGGCCACACUGGGACGGAGACACGGCCCAGACUCCUACGGGAGGCAGCAGUGGGGAAUCUUGGGCAAUGGGCGAAAGUCUGACCGAGCAACGCCGCGUGAGUGAAGAAGGUUUUCGGAUCGUAAAGCCCUGUUGUUAGGGAGGCGGUACCUAACCAGAAAGCCACGGCUAACUACGUGCCAGCAGCCGCGGUAAUAC